ensembl:lncRNA
CGGACGGCUCCUCUCCGAGGACCCCAAACCCCUGACGCCCGGCAGCGCCGCGGCGCCUGCUUGGGGCAGACCCUGUGCCCGCAGACGCGCAGACGGGUUGCAUCCCCUCGCUUCGAGUUGACAGAGAAGACACAGGCUGGGACAGUCAACAGAGGACACAGUAUUCUUCCACAGUGGCCUUGGCAAGAACUGACCCCAUCCUCAUCCUGGUCCCCAGCCAAAUGCUGCUUAUAUAUGCAUCCCCCAGUCUCCAAGCUUAAGCCCGGAGCUUGGAGCUUGGAACCUGUGCCCUGGAUGUUGAGGCAGAGGGAUUGCAAGUUCCGGUCAGCCUGAACGAUUUAAUACCUCGAGACCUUUCUCAAAAAGAAGCCAGAAAGACAAGCAUCGUGCAGCUGCAUGGUUUUCAUGCACUUGGAAUCAUGCACCCACUAUCACUUUUAAGACACCACCCCAAGAGCUCCCUCCCCUACCACGAGCAGUUACUUCUCAUUUCCCUCACAUUCACACCCCAGUUCCUAGUAACCACAAAUCUAUGCAUGCAGAUCUGCUUCUCCUGAACGUUCUUAGAAAUGGAAUCAUACAACAUACGGUCUUUGGCAACUCUACUGUUCUCAGGGCUUGGGCCAUGUUAUUGUGUCAGCUCCUUGUG